rnacentral:rRNA from 1 species
AAUUGACCUCGGAUCAGGUAGGGAUACCCGCUGAACUUAAGCAUAUCAAUAAGCGGAGGAAAAGAAACCAACCGGGAUUGCCUCAGUAACGGCGAGUGAAGCGGCAACAGCUCAAAUUUGAAAUCUGACCCUGUCGGGGUUCGAGUUGUAAUUUGUAGAGGAUGUUUCGGGCGCGAAGCCGGUCUAAGUCCCUUGGAACGGGGCGUCAUAGAGGGUGAGAAUCCCGUCUGUGACCGGCGAUCAAGCCUCUGUGAAACUCCUUCGACGAGUCGAGUUGUUUGGGAAUGCAGCUCAAAAUGGGUGGUAAAUUUCAUCUAAAGCUAAAUACUGGCCAGAGACCGAUAGCGCACAAGUAGAGUGAUCGAAAGAUGAAAAGCACUUUGGAAAGAGAGUCAAAAAGUACGUGAAAUUGUUGAAAGGGAAGCGCUUGCAACCAGACCUGCCCGCGGGCGAUCAGCCGUCCCUUCCAGGGCGGUGCACGCGCCCGCGAACAGGCCAGCAUCGGUUCGGGCGGCCGGAUAAAGGCCCGGGGAACGUAGCUCCUCUCGGGGAGUGUUAUAGCCCCGGGUGCAAUGCGGCCCGCCUGGACCGAGGACCGCGCUUCGGCUAGGAUGCUGGCGUAAUGGUUGUAAGCGGCCCGUCUUGAAACACGGACCAAGGAGUCUAACAUCUAUGCGAGUGUUUGGGUGUCAAACCCAUGCGCGUAAUGAAAGUGAACGGAGGUAGGAACCCACCAGGGCGCACUAUCGACCGAUCCUGAAGUCUUCGGAUGGAUUUGAGUACGAGCAUAGCUGUUGGAACCCGAAAGAUGGUGAACUAUGCCUGAAUAGGGUGAAGCCAGAGGAAACUCUGGUGGAGGCUCGCAGCGGUUCUGACGUGCAAAUCGAUCGUCAAAUUUGGGUAUAGGGGCGAAAGACUAAUCGAACCAUCUAGUAGCUGGUUCCAGCCGAAGUUUCCCU